UGUAAUUCUGUUGGAAGGGUAUAGAGGAGAUUCCAGUAAUGUUGCCUUGGAUGGAGCAUUACAGUUUGAGACGAGGCUGCAUAGCUGGCUGACCUGCUGAUUGUCUUCAAACGUUUCUGUUGCUGUUGUAAAGAUAAUGGUUCUUGAACAUUUCCACAGAAAUGAAGUUAAAGGUAUCAAAGAAAGGAAUGGAAAAGAUGCUCAGUACAGAUCAUCCUCAAAUGCUGCGUCACUGCAUUGCACAGAAGCUAUACUGUGGCAGACAGGAAGGCGCUACAACAGGUAGUCAAGACUGCCCAACACAACACUGGCACCAGCUAA